rnacentral:lncRNA from 1 species
GAACAAAAGAGGAAAAAAUGGAGAGGAUAUUUAUUUUUCCAUUAAAAUAAUAGUAUCACUCUGUUGCAUUAUGGGGAUUCUUGGAAUAUUUUAUAUCAAAACACAGCUAAAGAAUGGUAUAUGGAAAAGAGGAAGUCAAACAUCAAAGUACUUUAGGUGAAAAAAUGGGUGCAUAUGGCCUAUGGGUGCUAGAAAAGAAAGAAGAGUGAAGUAUGGAUUUCUAAAGGCAAAUUUUGCUGAUCUAUUCCUGUCAUGUGGAUGAAUGCAGCGAAUAACUGGAAAUAUGUGAAUUGACGAAUAUAACUUCCACCAUUGACACCACUAUCAACUGUGAGUGCACGGAUUCUGCAUUCGAGUAAGCUGGCUCCUUGUAAA